UCCUACGGGAGGCAGCAGUGAGGAAUCUUCCGCAAUGGGCGAAAGCCUGACGGAGCGACGCCGCGUGGUGGAUGAAGGCCUUUUAGGUCGUAAACACCUGUUCUGAGGGACGAAAUUUUUGACGGUACCUCAGGAGAAAGUAUCGGCAACCCCUGUGCCAGCAGCCGCGGUAAU
rnacentral:rRNA from 1 species